CGUAGACCUUAUUACUGGGAAAAUAAGGUUAGGGGCAGGAUGUAGACUGGGUCAGACGAACAAAAUGAAAAAUAAAAGGAUACUAAAACCAACUUUAAGGAUAUUAAAGUCAAUUUAAAAUCUUUUGGAAAGAUAGCCACAAGUAAAUAAGCAAUCAAUCAAGAAAGAAUGGUGAAGCAGACCUUGAGAUAAGCUGUUCUCUUGACUCCAUGAGGCUAAUGAAACUCUCAUUUAGGACUUUUUGGGGGAACUCUUGAAAGGAAAAAAUCGCUUCCAUCUGGAUCGCUAGGCUGAAAGGAUGAGAGCCUGAAGCCAGGAGCCAUCACUCUGUCACCCUGAAGGAAGCACCCUGCAGUGGUGCGAUGACUGAAAGACAAUCGCUGUGACAAGGACUCCACCCCUCCAUGGUGAAAGUCAGCAUGCAGUGACAUCUGAACCCUUGGAUUCACAAUGCCUGAAGCCACUCAUUCACAGACAAUUACAUUACAUAAUCUUUAAGGCUUACACCAUGCCAGUUUGCAGUGGGUUUGUCAUCUGUAUCAGCAUGAAUUCUGAGUAAUCGUAUUUUGCCUCAUAAAGUGUGGGGAUUUUUACUGAAUUGCUUUCAGUGUGUUUCAGGACACUGUCUUGGAAAGGAAUCUCAACGUGACAAUUUCAUAAAAGGAUUUAAAAUUCAUUUCUCAAGUUUUCUGUAUGACGCUACGGUGCAUUUUUUCUCUUAGCUGAUUUAAGGCAAGUUUAAGAGUGUCUGCUACUUUUUAGAAGGGCAAUUCACACCUACGAACCCAACGCAAACACUAUCUGAGGUCAAGAGACUGAGCAACAUAAAUCUCCACUUGUUCUUUCAACACCUCUCUUGAGACUCUGCCAAAAACUUCAUUCUACUACGCUGCUAUGUAAACCUCCCAUAUCCAGUUUACUGAUGGCACCUCCUGUGGCAUCUCUGUCCAGGUCCUGGGACAGCAGAGGGACCUGUUUGUGAAGCUCUGCUGGCUACUCCAGCUGUCUGGAGCUUCAAUUAGCAAGUAUUUAAGGACAGGAAGAGCUGGCAGAGUAUGAAAUUGCAUUCCAGGAAGCCCACCUGGGACUUCCUGCAGGAUAUCAAUCUCUUAAAGCAGUCAAGGUCAGGAGGGAAAGGAGAGAGUCCCGCAGAAAAGGUUUUUCUUUUCCUUGCAGGCCAGGUUCUUUACUAAGUCUCUGUAUGUGGCUUACUUCUUCUAAUAAAUAUGGAAAACCCAGCAUAUAUUUGGUAGAGCUGAUUACAAAUACUUCAAUAAAAUAAAUUUGUUCUACACUGUG